UACGUAGGGGGCAAGCGUUGUCCGGAAUCAUUGGGCGUAAAGCGCGUGUAGGCGGCCCGGUAAGUCCGCUGUGAAAGUCGGGGGCUCAACCCUCGAAAGCCGGUGGAUACUGUCGGGCUCGAGUACGGGAGAGGCGAGUGGAAUUCCUGGUGUAGCGGUGAAAUGCGCAGAUAUCAGGAGGAACACCGGUGGCGAAGGCGGAUCUCUGGGCCUGUCCUGACGCUGAGGCGCGAAAGCUAGGGGAGCGAACAGG
rnacentral:rRNA from 1 species